rnacentral:rRNA from 1 species
AUAGGCAAUUAUUCCUGGUAAUGGNUUUUUUGAUUUAAUGCUUUUUUCGCCUAAGGAUGGGUCUGCGGCCGAUUAGGUAGUUGGUUAGGUAAUGGCUUACCAAGCCUUUGAUCGGUACGGGUUGUGAGAGCAAGAGCCCGGAGAUGGAACCUGAGACAAGGUUCCAGGCCCUACGGGGUGCAGCAGGCGCGAAACCUCCGCAAUGUGAGAAAUCGCGACGGGGGGAUCCCAAGUGCCAUUCUCAACGGGAUGGCUUUUCAUUAGUGUAAAGAGCUUUUGGAAUAAGAGCUGGGCAAGACCGGUGCCAGCCGCCGCGGUAACACCGGCAGCUCUAGUGGUAGCAGUUUUUAUUGGGCCUAAAGCGUCCGUAGCCGGUUUAAUAAGUCUCUGGUGAAAUCCUGCAGCUUAACUGUGGGAAUUGCUGGAGAUACUAUUAGACUUGAGAUCGGGAGAGGUUAGAGGUACUCCCAGGGUANAGGUGAAAUUCUGUAAUCCUGGGAGGACCGCCCUGUUGCNAAGGCGUCUNACUGGAACNAUUCUGACAGUGAGGGACGAAAGUUAGGGGCGCGAACCCGAUUAGAUACCCGGGUAGUCCNANCUGUNANCGAUGCCGGACUNGGUGUUGGGGUGGNUUUNACCCUGUCCCCAGNUCCCAAA